UACGUAGGGUGCGAGCGUUAAUCGGAAUUACUGGGCGUAAAGUGUGCGCAGGCGGCCGCGCAAGUCGAGUGUGAAAGCCCCGAGCUUAACUUGGGAAUUGCGCUCGAAGCUACGUGGCUGGAGUGUGGCAGAGGAAGGUGGAAUUCCACGUGUAGCGGUGAAAUGCGUAGAUAUCUGGAGGAAUACCGGUGGCGAAGGCGGCAUCCUGGACCGGCAUUGACGCUGAGGAGCGAAAGCCAGGGGAGCAAACGGG
rnacentral:rRNA from 1 species